GUUUACUAGUAAUAUUUUAGUUUUACAAACUCAUAUUAUAUACAGUCGUGUGACUGAUAUUACGUCACUUCUGUUAUGUAUUUUUCUUGCGGUUUCAGUAUCACAUUUUUUUCAUUUCGGUCGCCCAGUCAAAUGUCAAGCCUGCCUUGACUGCUUUGGU